rnacentral:rRNA from 1 species
UACGGGAGGCAGCAGUGGGGAAUAUUGCACAAUGGGCGCAAGCCUGAUGCAGCCAUGCCGCGUGUAUGAAGAAGGCCUUCGGGUUGUAAAGUACUUUCAGUCGUGAGGAAGGUGUUAAGGUUAAUAACCUUAGCAAUUGACGUUAGCGACAGAAGAAGCACCGGCUAACUCCGUGCCAGCAGCCGCGGUAAUACGGAGGGUGCGAGCGUUAAUCGGAAUUACUGGGCGUAAAGGGCACGCAGGCGGUUAAUUAAGUUGGAUGUGAAAUCCCCGGGCUUAACCUGGGAAUGGCAUUCAAGACUGGUUAGCUAGAGUCUUGUAGAGGGGGUAGAAUUCCAUGUGUAGCGGUGAAAUGCGUAGAGAUGUGGAGGAAUACCGGUGGCGAAGGCGGCCCCUGGCAAAGACUGACGCUCAUGUGCGAAAGCGUGGGGAGCAAACAGGAUUAGAUACC